rnacentral:rRNA from 1 species
GACGUAGGGCGCGAGCGUUGUCCGGAUUUAUUGGGCGUAAAGAGCUCGUAGGCGGUUUGUCGCGUCGGGAGUGAAAUCCACUGGCUUAACUGGUGGCUUGCUUUCGAUACGGGCUGGCUAGAGUGUGGUAGGGGAGAUCGGAAUUCCUGGUGUAGCGGUGAAAUGCGCAGAUAUCGGGAGGAACACCAAUGGCGAAGGCAGCUCGCUGGGACGUGACUGACGCUGAGACGCGAAAGCGUGGGGAGCAAACAGG